UUAAAUUGAAGAGUUUGAUCAUGGCUCAGAUUGAACGCUGGCGGCAGGCCUAACACAUGCAAGUCGAACGGUAACAGGAAACAGCUUGCUGUUUCGCUGACGAGUGGCGGACGGGUGAGUAAUGUCUGGGAAACUGCCUGAUGGAGGGGGAUAACUACUGGAAACGGUAGCUAAUACCGCAUAACGUCGCAAGACCAAAGAGGGGGACCUUAGGGCCUCUUGCCAUCGGAUGUGCCCAGAUGGGAUUAGCUAGUAGGUGGGGUAAAGGCUCACCUAGGCGACGAUCCCUAGCUGGUCUGAGAGGAUGACCAGCCACACUGGAACUGAGACACGGUCCAGACUCCUACGGGAGGCAGCAGUGGGGA
rnacentral:rRNA from 1 species